UCUUAGUAGGGCGGAUGCAGCUUAUUUUGGAUGGAGAGCCAUCGACGGACUUUAAACUAAUUUCAGGUGAUAUCACUGAGAUGUGCAGAUGGCUCUUCACCAAUUCAGAGAAGGACGAAAUGCCACAGUGGGUGGACCUUCAUCAGUAUGAGGAAAUGCCGGAUGACCUGAGGGAGAUGUCAAGAAGCCAGAGCGAAAUUGAUGGCGGGCACAAGUACCUGCAGUACUAGCGGCACGGAUCCAUACAGAAGCUCAACGACAGCGAACGACACUACUAUAGCAACAGAAACCACUCAUAAACGGAUUCAUUUUGUGUAGGAAGAGGAUAUGUCAACCAUCAACAGGACAAUAAACAUGUGGAACAGAAGCAGAUUCCCUGACCAUAUCUCCCAUAAAAUCAUUGCGGGAAAGAUCUGCUGAAUUUGGAAUUCCAGAAACUACUAUGCUGAAAGAAAUGGAAAAAGAUCUGGAAUUAAAAUCUAUUUGCUCAACAUUCGUAAA